rnacentral:rRNA from 1 species
GACGGACGCUGGCGGCGUGCUUAACACAUGCAAGUCGAACGGAAAGGCCCUGCUUUUGUGGGGUGCUCGAGUGGCGAACGGGUGAGUAACACGUGAGUAACCUGCCCUUGACUUUGGGAUAACUUCAGGAAACUGGGGCUAAUACCGGAUAGGAGCUCCUGCUGCAUGGUGGGGGUUGGAAAGUUUCGGCGGUUGGGGAUGGACUCGCGGCUUAUCAGCUUGUUGGUGGGGUAGUGGCUUACCAAGGCUUUGACGGGUAGCCGGCCUGAGAGGGUGACCGGCCACAUUGGGACUGAGAUACGGCCCAGACUCCUACGGGAGGCAGCAGUGGUGAAUAUUGCACAAUGGGCGGAAGCCUGAUGCAGCAACGCCGCGUGCGGGAUGACGGCCUUCGGGUUGUAAACCGCUUUCGCCUGUGACGAAGCGUGAGUGACGGUAAUGGGUAAAGAAGCACCGGCUAACUACGUG